GAUGAACGCUGGCGGCGUGCCUAAUACAUGCAAGUCGAGCGAACAGACGAGGAGCUUGCUCCUCUGACGUUAGCGGCGGACGGGUGAGUAACACGUGGAUAACCUACCUAUAAGACUGGGAUAACUUCGGGAAACCGGAGCUAAUACCGGAUAAUAUAUUGAACCGCAUGGUUCAAUAGUGAAAGACGGUUUUGCUGUCACUUAUAGAUGGAUCCGCGCCGCAUUAGCUAGUUGGUAAGGUAACGGCUUACCAAGGCGACGAUGCGUAGCCGACCUGAGAGGGUGAUCGGCCACACUGGAACUGAGACACGGUCCAGACUCCUACGGGAGGCAGCAGUAGGGAAUCUUCCGCAAUGGGCGAAAGCCUGACGGAGCAACGCCGCGUGAGUGAUGAAGGGCUGCGGAUCGUAAAACUCUGUUAUUAGGGAAGAACAAAUGUGUAAGUAACUAUGCACGUCUUGACGGUACCUAAGCAGAAAGCCACGGCUAACUACGU
rnacentral:rRNA from 1 species